AUAGCCUAACGGCUGAACCAGCAACUUGGAGGAAUGAAAAGCAAUAGCUGAUUGCAUUUAAUUUAAUGUAGUUACUACUUGGUAGUUUAAAUUUCUAGGUAGAAUUAUGAUGAUGACAUUAUCUAUCUAUUAGUCUUGACCAAAUUACGUGCCAGCUGUCGCGGUAAUACGUAGAAGACAAGUGUUAUUCAUCUUUAUUCGGUUUAAAGAGUACCAAGACGGUUAAUAAAGCCCAAAAUAAAUGAAUACGGGGGACACAUUAACUAGAGUUAUAUGAAAGGAAGCUAUAAGGUACUGUUGAGUGUAAAGAUGAAAUUUAAUCAUACCAGAUGAGUGGCACAGAUUUAUGCGAAGGCAUCUUCUUAUGUAAUAACUGACGUUGUAGGACGAAGGCUUAGUAAGUGAACAGGAUUUGGUACCCCAGUAAUCUAGGCAGAAAAUGAUGAAUGUCAUAGGUUGAAUACAGACAGGUUAAAUUGACUAUCUAAUAGUAAAUAGGUGGUAUUUUAAUCAGUCUAUUAUUGUGUCUAUAAAUGAAAGUGUAAGCAUUCCACCUCAAGAGUAAUUUGGCAACAUUGGAACUGAAAUCAUUAGACCGUUUCUGAAACCAGUAGUGAAGUAUGUUGUUUAAUUAGAUGAUACACAAAAACCUUACCACAAUUUGAAUAUAUAUAAAAUAUAUUUAAUUUGAAUAUAUAUAAAAUAUAUUUAAUUUGAAUAUAUAUAAAAUAUAUUUACAAGCGCUGCACGGCUGUCUACAGUUAAUGUCGUGAGACUUUGGUUAGCUCCAUUAAAUUGACGUAAACCCUAAUUUUAUUUAUAAAUAUAAUUAACAUUGCUAUAUUUGAUGUUUUAAGAGGGAACAUGACAAGUCAUCAUGGCCAAACUUAUAUA
rnacentral:rRNA from 1 species